rnacentral:misc_RNA from 1 species
GAUGAAGAACGCAGCGAAAUGCGAUAAGUAGUGUGAAUUGCAGAAUUCAGUGAAUCAUCGAAUCUUUGAACGCACAUUGCGCCCCUUGGUAUUCCAUGGGGCAUGCCUGUUCGAGCGUCAUUUGUACCUUCAAGCUUUGCUUGGAGUUGGGUGUUUGUCUCGCCUUUGCGUGUAGACUCGCCUUAAAAUAAUUGGCAGCCGGCGUAUUGAUUUCGGAGCGCAGUACAUCUCGCGCUUUGCACUCAUAACGACAGCGUCCAAAAGUACAUUUUACACUCUUGACCUCGGAUCAGGUAGGGAUACCCGCUGAACGUAAGCAUAUCAAUAAGCGGAGGA